CAGUUCGAUGGCCCUGCAGGCAUCUGGCACUAGCUGGUCAUUUUGUCUGUCACACUUCACUGCCUCGGUUAGCACUAUCUGAAAUCUAAAGUGGGAAUAUGGAUCAGAUCUUGUCAUCCUCUGACCAAUGAGAAGUCAGGGAGUUUGUUUUUAUGCAUCCCUGUGGGCGCUCUGACGAAAGAAGUGAUAGAUGUUGGGUGGGGAGACACCGGAAAGGUAAACGCAGGUGCUGCAGAUGCAGGACAUUCUGCUCGUGUGGAGAGCGAUGUCAUCCUGUUUAUCCACGCUUGAGUGUUCGGAGGAGCCGAGGGCACACUGCAGAAGAGUUGAGGAAAAUUGCACAUGACCCAGAUAAGCUGAGCACACUCUCUGACAAGGUUUAAUUUAAUUAUGGGGCAAUUAAUGAUCAGUAUGAAGCAGCGGGUGGCUGGCACCACCACCGGAGUCGAUGAUCACCCAACAAGGCAUCUACCUGCGUGCAUGGCAACCGCAAUGCAUUACAUGUUUACUUAAGGGGAGAUGUAUUGAGGUCAGCAUGGCAGGCAAUUUAGCAUGGUGUGUGAAUAGUUUUUAUGCCACCUUUGUUGUACUAAACUUGAUUUAUGAAGCACACAGUGUGCUCAUAUCCAAGUGGUCUCCAUUGCUCAUGGGGUUUUUAGUGGGGUUUUUUAAAGCUCAGUUGGUAGGGCAUUGCGUUAGCAGUGCCAAGGGUCAUGGGUACACAUAAACUGAUUAAAGUAUACCCUGUAAUGUGUUACAUUUUCAGAGAAUGUUCUUUACAUUAUGUUAUGUAGGACGAGUUUAUGUAAAAACAGUAAAUCUCAGAAAAUGACUUUAGCUGGCAUGGAAAGAGAUCAUUUUUGCUCCCAUAAUAGUGUGCAUAUUCUGUUGCUUUUUGACCCACUGUCAAUCACAAAAAUAUCCAGGUAAACCACAGGCACAA